rnacentral:rRNA from 1 species
GACGAACGCUGGCGGCGUGCCUAAUACAUGCCAGUAGAACGCUGAAGAGAGGAGCUUGCUCUUCUUGGAUGAGUUGCGAACGGGUGAGUAACGCGUAGGUAACCUGCCUUGUAGCGGGGGAUAACUAUUGGAAACGAUAGCUAAUACCGCAUAACAAUGGAUGACACAUGUCAUUUAUUUGAAAGGGGCAAUUGCUCCACUACAAGAUGGACCUGCGUUGUAUUAGCUAGUAGGUGAGGUAAUGGCUCACCUAGGCGACGAUACAUAGCCGACCUGAGAGGGUGAUCGGCCACACUGGGACUGAGACACGGCCCAGACUCCUACGGGAGGCAGCAGUAGGGAAUCUUCGGCAAUGGGGGCAACCCUGACCGAGCAACGCCGCGUGAGUGAAGAAGAUUUUCGGAUCGUAAAGCUCUGUUGUAAGUCAAGAACGGGUGUGAGAGUGGAAAGUUCACACUGUGACGGUAGCUUACCAGAAAGGGACGGCUAACUACGUG